rnacentral:rRNA from 1 species
CAGCAGGGACGAAGCGCAAGUGACGGUACCUGCAGAAGAAGCACCGGCCAACUACGUGCCAGCAGCCGCGGUAAUACGUAGGGUGCAAGCGUUGUCCGGAAUUAUUGGGCGUAAAGAGCUCGUAGGCGGUUCGUCGCGUCGGCUGUGAAAUCCCGAGGCUCAACCUCGGGCCUGCAGUCGAUACGGGCGGACUUGAGUUCGGCAGGGGAGACUGGAAUUCCUGGUGUAGCGGUGAAAUGCGCAGAUAUCAGGAGGAACACCGGUGGCGAAGGCGGGUCUCUGGGCCGAAACUGACGCUGAGGAGCGAAAGCGUGGGGAGCGAACAGGAUUAGAUACCCUGGUAGUCCACGCCGUAAACGUUGGGCGCUAGGUGUGGGGCUCAUUCCACGAGUUCCGUGCCGCAGCUAACGCAUUAAGCGCCCCGCCUGGGGAGUACGGCCGCAGGGCUAAAACUCAAAGGAAUUGACGGGGGCCCGCACAAGCGGCGGAGCAUGUUGCUUAAUUCGAUGCAACGCGAAGAACCUUACCUAGGCUUGACAUGCACGGAAAUCCUCCAGAGAUGGGGGGUCCGUAAGGGUCGUGCACAGGUGGUGCAUGGUUGUCGUCAGCUCGUGUCGUGA